CCUCCGUCCAGUCUGAUGUUUUAAUGCCCUAAUCCCUGAUGUAUACUCCCAUUCUAACAGACCUCUCUACCUCCCCCUCCCUCUCUCUUCCCCUCUCUUCCUCCGUCCAGGCGACCCUGCGGAGGGUGACGUUCUCCGUGGUCCCGGGGCCUCAGGACGGUGGUUGCUAUGACAGCGCUGCAGAGGACUCUGAGACCCCCAGCAGUAAGGGUUCAUCUGGACCCCGAGUGGGGGCGCUGUCUCUCCCCGAGGAGGGGUACGAGAGGACCACACCUGAGGGAAGUGUAGGAGAGGAGGAACAUGUGGAGAACGAUGCCAGACAGCUCCCAGACGUAGCCCUGACAGGGAAGUGCACGAGGGAGUGUGAUGAGUUUGGACACUCCGACACUUGUGGAUGCCCGCCGCUGUCCGCCCGUCGCCUCGGCAACACCAGCGCCAGCGCCACGUCAGCGAGCCGCCCCGCCUGUCCACCUUCGCCUCCCCUGGCAACGACAACAACAAUAACCAUGAUGACGAUGAUGAGGAAGAUAGUGACAGCGAGAGCGCCGGCAGCGCCGGGAGUUCCGAACCGGGCGUAGUCAGCGUGGGAGUCGGCGGAGGAGGUCAGAGGUUACCGUUAGCCAAUGGGGAUCCUCUCGGCAGCCUGGUGGGCAGAGACAGGAUGAACCGGAACGACCACAACCGGAACCUACUCAACCGGAAGAUGACGUCAGCGUCGUACGACACGUUCAGCUCCGCCGGGUUCGGGAGACGCCAUCUCGAGGAGGAUAGGGGGGGUCAGGGCAGGGUCAACCCUCCGGAGGUUAUACCAUUAACGAGGACCGGGGACUACAAGACCACGUCGUGCCUCACGCUCUCCCGUAGAGAGGUCUACCUGUAAGAGCAGGACGGAUGGAUCAGUCCACUGCUGCUGCACCCCUUUGCUGAUGGAAUGGAACAUUCCAUCCCUGUUUGUUCUGGUGAAAUGGAACAGUCCACUUCUAGACAUUGGAAUGAAAUGGUCCAUUUCUGUUGUAGUUCUUUUGUUGAGAACUUUGACCAGCUGUGAAUAAUAACAAUAAUAUCAAUAAUAACAACACCUUAAGAAGAGAGGACCGCUCAGUGGGUUUGGGUUUGUUUUGGAGACAAGACACCACACAACUACAAAACCACCAAAAAGGACACUGGGACCUUAAACUCCAAGAUUAAAUGACUAUAAGGUGUAAAUAAAAAAGAUGAAUGGUGUGAAUUAACUGAA